rnacentral:rRNA from 1 species
UCUACCUUUUAGUGGGGAAUACCGUUGGGAAACCGACGACAAUACCGCAUAAGCUCGAGAGAGGAAAGCCGAAAGGCGCUGAAAGAGGAGUCCGCGGCUGAUUAGCUAGUUGGUAGGGUAAAGGCCUACCAAGGCAUUGAUCGGUAGCCGGCCUGAGAGGGCACACGGCCACACUGGCACUGAAACACGGGCCAGACUCCUACGGGAGGCAGCAGUGGGGAAUCUUGCACAAUGGGGGCAACCCUGAUGCAGCGACGCCGCGUGAGUGAUGACGCCCUUCGGGGUGUAAAGCUCUUUCGACAGGGACGAUAAUGACGGUACCUGGAGAAGCAGCUGCGGCUAACUACGUGCCAGCAGCCGCGGUAAUACGUAGGCAGCAAGCGUUGUUCGGAGUUACUGGGCGUAAAGGGUGCGUAGGCGGCCCUGUAAGUGUGGUGUGAAAUCUCCCGGCUUAACUGGGAGGGUGCGCUACAGACUGCAGGGCUAGAGUGUGGGAGGGGAAAGCGGAAUUCCUGGUGUAGCGGUGAAAUGCGUAGAUAUCAGGAGGAACACCGGUGGUGUAAACGGCUUUCUGGACCAUAACUGACGCUGAUGCACGAAAGCGUGGGUAGCAAGCAGGAUUAGAUACCCUGGUAGUCCACGCCCUAAACGAUGCAUAUUUGGUGUGGGUCAUUCAGUUGAUCCGUGCCGGAGCUAACGCGUUAAAUAUGCCGCCUGGGGAGUACAGUCGCAAGGCUGAAACUCAAAGGAAUUGACGGGGGCCCGCACAAGCGGUGGAGCAUGUGGUUUAAUUCGACGCAACGCGAAGAACCUUACCUAGGCUCGAAAUGCUAUGGACCAGCUUAUGAAAGUAGGCCUUCCCGCAAGGGACCGUAGUAUAGGUGCUGCAUGGCUGUCGUCAGCUCGUGUCGUGAGAUGUUGGGUUAAGUCCCGCAACGAGCGCAACCCUUGUCCUGUGUUGCCAUACCGCAAGGUGGAACUCGCAGGAGACCGCCAGGGAUAACCUGGAGGAAGGUGGGGAUGACGUCAAGUCCUCAUGGCCUUUAUGUCUAGGGCUACACACGUGCUACAAUGGACGGUACAAAGGGCUGCCAACCCGCGAGGGGGAGCCAAUCCCAAAAAACCGUUCUCAGUUCGGAUUGCAGGCUGC